rnacentral:tRNA from 1 species
UGUUUGAUAGCUCAUCGGGUAGAGCAGUUGACUGAGAAUCAAUUGGUAGUGGGUUCGAAUCCCACUCAAACAGCCA